UGGGGAAUUUUGGACAAUGGGGGAAACCCUGAUCCAGCCAUCCCGCGUGUGCGAUGAAGGCCUUCGGGUUGUAAAGCACUUUUGGCAGGAAAGAAACGUUCCGGGUUAAUACCCCGGGAAACUGACGGUACCUGCAGAAUAAGCACCGGCUAACUACGUGCCAGCAGCCGCGGUAAUACGUAGGGUGCAAGCGUUAAUCGGAAUUACUGGGCGUAAAGCGUGCGCAGGCGGUUCGGAAAGAAAGAUGUGAAAUCCCAGAGCUUAACUUUGGAACUGCAUUUUUAACUACCGAGCUAGAGUGUGUCAGAGGGAGGUGGAAUUCCGCGUGUAGCAGUGAAAUGCGUAGAUAUGCGGAGGAACACCGAUGGCGAAGGCAGCCUCCUGGGAUAACACUGACGCUCAUGCACGAAAGCGUGGGGAGCAAACA
rnacentral:rRNA from 1 species